rnacentral:tRNA from 1 species
GUACCGGUGGCCCGCAGGGCGUGGAACUCACCGGGGGCGUGGAAGAUGAACUGGCCCUUGGUCAUCCGCAGGGUUCGGUCCCCCGCCAGUACG